GUCAGAGUUUGAUCCUGGCUCAGAACGAACGCUGGCGGCGUGUUUAAGACAUGCAAGUCGAACGGGAUGAAGUUGUAGCAAUACCGCUUCAUUCAGUGGCGCACGGGUGCGUAACACGUGAGUUACAUGCCCUGCAGUGGGGAAUAGCCCGCCGAAAGGCGGAUUAAUACCCCAUGGUCCCGCAAGGGUAAAGGUGGCGUAAGCUGCCGCUGCAGGAUUGGCUCGCGGCCUAUCAGCUUGUUGGUGAGGUAACGGCUCACCAAGGCUACGACGGGUACCUGGUCUGAGAGGAUGAUCAGGCACACUGGAACUGAGACACGGUCCAGACACCGUACGGGU
rnacentral:rRNA from 1 species